rnacentral:rRNA from 1 species
GACGAACGCUGGCGGCGUGCCUAAUACAUGCAAGUCGAGCGAGCGGAACUAACAGAUUUACUUCGGUAAUGACGUUAGGAAAGCGAGCGGCGGAUGGGUGAGUAACACGUGGGGAACCUGCCCCAUAGUCUGGGAUACCACUUGGAAACAGGUGCUAAUACCGGAUAAGAAAGCAGAUCGCAUGAUCAGCUUUUAAAAGGCGGCGUAAGCUGUCGCUAUGGGAUGGCCCCGCGGUGCAUUAGCUAGUUGGUAAGGUAAAGGCUUACCAAGGCGAUGAUGCAUAGCCGAGUUGAGAGACUGAUCGGCCACAUUGGGACUGAGACACGGCCCAAACUCCUACGGGAGGCAGCAGUAGGGAAUCUUCCACAAUGGACGCAAGUCUGAUGGAGCAACGCCGCGUGAAUGAAGAAGGUUUUCGGAUCGUAAAGCUCUGUUGUUGGUGAAGAAGGAUAGAGGUAGUAACUGGCCUUUAUUUGACGGUAAUCAACCAGAAAGUCACGGCUAACUACGUG